UACGUAGGGGGCAAGCGUUGUCCGGAAUCAUUGGGCGUAAAGCGCGCGUAGGCGGCCCGGUAAGUCCGCUGUGAAAGUCGGGGGGCUCAACCCUCGGAUGCCGGUGGAUACUGUCGAGCUCGAGUCCGGAAGAGGCGAGUGGAAUUCCUGGUGUAGCGGUGAAAUGCGCAGAUAUCAGGAGGAACACCAAUGGCGAAGGCAGCUCGCUGGGACGGUACUGACGCUGGAGACGCGAAAGCGUGGGGAGCAAACAGG
rnacentral:rRNA from 1 species